UUUGGGAAUCUGAAUACUGAUCGUUAGGGACACUUGAUGUAACAAAUCAUGUUGAUGCUGAUGAAACAACUUCUCUGCUUUGAUUGUAUUGUGAAACUACAGAAGAUAAAAACAGAAACCAGUGAUGUUGGCAGGUUGCUGAUCACUUUAGACCAGGCAGGACCUUUGGUCAGUAAGGAGCUUCUUUUCCCCCAAGGAUGAACUCCUGUCAACGAGGUGGUUCAUUGACAUUCUGCUGUGAAGAUGUGAAGAUGGAAGAAAUGUGCCUGUAGCAACGUAGCAAUGGCAAGGCUUUCAGCUGUAUCAGUCAUGCCCACCUAUGGGAUAACUUCAAGAUACUUUUCAAUCAAGAGCAAUUUGAGUAUAAGAAGUUCCCACCCACACACUCACUGGUUGAUAUGCUUCUGCCCCCACAGAUUGCUCUCCUUGUCUCUGCUGAUACAGACUUGCAGAACUGUGCUGUAAGCCAACUCAUGAAAUCAUCCAGGAUUAAAAAAAUAAAUAAAAAUCCUUGUGGUUUCUAUGCAGAUUAUGUCAUUCUUUAAUAGCUAAUCACCAAAUAAAGCAAUUUUAUUUAUUUUACCUACAAGUAAAACCUAUCGUGUCAGCAAUAAAAUUGCUCCAGUGUAAGGAAAUUAUACAAAGUAGCAG